rnacentral:rRNA from 1 species
AGUGAACGCUGGCGGUAGGCCUAACACAUGCAAGUCGAACGGCAGCACAGUAAGAGCUUGCUCUUACGGGUGGCGAGUGGCGGACGGGUGAGGAAUACAUCGGAAUCUACUUUUUCGUGGGGGAUAACGUAGGGAAACUUACGCUAAUACCGCAUACGACCUACGGGUGAAAGCAUGGGAUCUUCGGAUCUUGCGCGAUUGAAUGAGCCGAUGUCGGAUUAGCUAGUUGGCGGGGUAAAGGCCCACCAAGGCGACGAUCCGUAGCUGGUCUGAGAGGAUGAUCAGCCACACUGGAACUGAGACACGGUCCAGACUCCUACGGGAGGCAGCAGUGGGGAAUAUUGGACAAUGGGCGCAAGCCUGAUCCAGCCAUACCGCGUGGGUGAAGAAGGCCUUCGGGUUGUAAAGCCCUUUUGUUGGGAAAGAAAAGCAGCAGGUUAAUACCCCGCUGUUCUGACGGUACCCAAAGAAUAAGCACCGGCUAACUUCGUG